rnacentral:rRNA from 1 species
UAGGGAAUCUUCGGCAAUGGGGGGAACCCUGACCGAGCAACGCCGCGUGAGUGAAGAAGGUUUUCGGAUCGUAAAGCUCUGUUGUUAAGGAAGAACGAGUGUGAGAAUGGAAAGUUCAUACUGUGACGGUACUUAACCAGAAAGGGACGGCUAACUACGUGCCAGCAGCCGCGGUAAUACGUAGGUCCCGAGCGUUGUCCGGAUUUAUUGGGCGUAAAGCGAGCGCAGGCGGUUAGAAAAGUCUGAAGUGAAAGGCAGUGGCUCAACCAUUGUAGGCUUUGGAAACUGUUUAACUGGAGUGCAGAAGGGGAGAGUGGAAUUCCAUGUGUAGCGGUGAAAUGCGUAGGUAUAUGGAGGAACACCGGUGGCGAAAGCGGCUCUCUGGUCUGUAACUGACGCUGAGGCUCGAAAGCGUGGGGAGCGAACAGG